AUUGUGCGAAACGUCAGGAAUUUUUUCUUCCUAAUUUUAAACAAUACUCCUUUUAUCUUUUUACCUUGAAACAAAAAAGGUUUUGAUAAUGUGAAUCAGAAGAGGAUUACUGUAUCUCACUAUUCUAAAAGGACACCAUUUUUCCUACAAACAAAGAUAAGCACAUGGACCUUUGGAGACUUGGUGGGGAUGGUAUGGAAGAGCUCUUUUCCGUGUGAGAUAUCCAUUUCUCUGGGUUGGUGAGUACUCCCAAAAUCACUGUGUGUACACAUGAAGAUUUGAACAUUUGGAGUGACUUGAAGUGGAACCACUAUCAGAAUUGAACCAUAAAGGAGUGAUCACUUUUGAAUGGAGUGUUUUUCUCCCACUUGAGUGGGUUUUUUUUUUUUUUUUUUUCUCACCUUUGUGUGUUUUUAUGGAGUGACACCUAACCUAAAGUGGUAAUUUCCUACGGAUCUGGGGUAACCACCAGAUGGCAACGGACAAUUAUUUGUUGUUGGAGUAAAUGAGUUUUGGGAUUUCCAGCAAGGGUUCCUGGUUUUGAACCUUUACCAUGGCAGUGCCACUACAUAACCGUUUCCAGGCUCUAGUUAGUUUAAAUGAUGAGGGGAUGGUAAGACAGGUGAACAAAUUGGCGGCCUUUAUUAAACCCUCCUCGCCUAACCAACAGACCCUGGCAAAGGUCCUGCAAAGAGUGGCGGGACUAGCUUCAGACUUACCCCAAUAACCAGGAAGAGCACGGGGAUACCGAAUCCCCAAACUCAGCGACCAAGAAACAAUUUGGCCGAGCCUAAAGUCCCAGCCUUGACCCUUCCAGGUUCACAGCAAGAGGACCAUCAGGGUAAGGUAGCAAUGGCAAAUGGAAAAGACACGGGCCCUGGGACAGAACCAAUACUGGAACCUGUAAAAAAGGAGAAACUCUUUUAUCCCACAUGUCAUUCUAGAACUGAAAGG